AUUGAACGCUGGCGGCACGCCUAACACAUGCAAGUCGAGCGGCAGCAUGCUUAGUAGCAAUACUAAGUGAUGGCGAGCGGCGGACGGGUGAGGAACACGUAGGAACCUGCCCAAGAGAGGGGGAUAACUAAGGGAAACUUUAGCUAAUACCGCAUAAUCUCUGAGGAGAAAAGUUGCCCGUAAGGGUAGCGCUUUUGGAGGGGCCUGCGUCCGAUUAGUUAGUUGGUGAGGUAAUGGCUCACCAAGACGAUGAUCGGUAACUGGUCUGAGAGGACGACCAGUCACACUGGGACUGAGACACGGCCCAGACUCCUACGGGAGGCAGCAGUGGGGAAUCUUGGACAAUGGGGGCAACCCUGAUCCAGCGAUGCCGCGUGGGUGAAGAAGGCCUUCGGGUUGUAAAGCCCUUUAGGCUGGGAAGAAGAGUGCGGGGUGAAUAAUCCUGUACUUUGACGGUACCAGCAGAAUAAGCACCGGCAAACUCUGUGCCAGCAGCCGCAGUAA
rnacentral:rRNA from 1 species